CCAUCAACACCAAUCGAAACCAACACUAACACCCCCACCCACCACCACCACCACAUGUGAUUAUAUGUAUGCAUAUGAUUUACAUGGAUACGAUUUGUUUUUGUCUAAAUAAUUCAUAUGUGAUUAGAUACCUUUUAUCACAUAUGAUUAAAUACACGAAAAAAAAAAAAAUGUAUAUUAUCCACAUAAAGCACAUGUGAUUAGACAUAUAUAAUCACAUCUGAUUAUAUGUUUUAAUCACAUAUGAUUUAUGUGAACAACAUGCAUUUUUGCGUUGUUGAUUCGUUAGUUGUUCUCUUAUAUUUAAUCACAUGUGAUUAUAUGUAUGAUGUAUCUAAUCACAUAUGAUUUAUAUUAACAAGAUUAAUUUUCACAUUGUCUCUUCAACAAAAAAUUUUAUGUUUUAAUCACAUGUGAUUUAUGUGGACAAUAUUUAUUUUUGCGUCGAUUCAAUAAUUUCUCAUGUAUUUAAUCAUACAUGAUUAAUUUGGACAAGAUUCAUUUUUGUUUAUAUAAAUCUUAUGUGAUUAAAUACAUAUAAUCACAUGUGAUUAAAUACAUAUAAUCACAUGUGAUUAUACACAAAAAACUAUUGAACCGAGAAAGCGAGAAUGAUGUUUGUCCACAUAAAUCUUUUGUGAUUAGAUACGUAUAAUCACAUGUGAUUAUAUGUAUUUAAUCAUAUAUGAUUUAUGUGGACAAUAUUCAUUUCUCGUUUUCCAUUCAAUAUUUGGUGUCGUGUAUUUAAUCACAUGUGAUUAAUGUAUUUAAGCAUAUAUGAUUUCUAUGGACAAUAUUCAUUUUCAUGUUUCGACUCAAUAUUUAGUCUCAUGUAUUUAAUCACAUAUGAUUUAUGUAGAAAAAAAUAUAUUUUCGCGUUCUUGAUUCAAUAAUUGUUCUCAUGUAUAUAAUCACAUAUGAUUAAAUGUAUCUAAUUUCAUAGGAUUAUAUGGACAAAAUUCACUUUCGAGUUUUAGAUUCAAUAAUUUUUUCACGUAUUUAAUCACAUGUGAUUAUAAGCAUCUAACCAUAUGUGAUUUAUAUGGAAAAAUUUGAAUCGAACUUAUCUAUAUAAAUCAUAUGUGACUAGAUACAUAUAUUAACAUAUUAUUAAAUAUACGAGAACAACUAUAGAGUCGAGAACACAAAAAUGAAUAAUGUCCAUAUAAAUCAUAUAUCAAUUGAUAUAAUCAUAUUUGAUUAUAUCAAUUUAAUCACAUAUGAUUAAUGUGGUAAAAGAACAACUAUUGAAUUAAGAACACAAAAAUAAAUCAUGUCUACAUAAACCAUACGUGAUUAGAUACAUAUAAUCACAUGUGUAUUCAGUCACAUGUGAUUAUAUUUAUUUAAUCACAUAUGAUUUAUAUGGACACGAUUUGUUUUCACGUUCUUGAUUCAGUAGUUGUUCUCGUAUAUUUAAUCACAAGUGAUUAAAUGUAUUUAAUCAAAUAAGAAUAAAAUGGACAAAAAACCAUUAUUGAAUUGAGAAUGUGAAAAUGAAUAUUGUCCACAUAAAUCGUAUGUGAUUGACUACAUAUAAUCACAUGUGAUUAUAGGUACCCAAUCACAUAUUAUUUAUUUAGACAAAUUUCAUUAUUUCUUUCUCAAUUCAAUACUCAUGUACUUAAUCACAUGUGAUUAUAGGUACCCAAUCACAUAUUAUUUAUUUAGACAAAUUUCAUUAUUUCUUUCUCAAUUCAAUACUCAUGUACUUAAUCACAUGUGAUUAUAUGUAUCUAAUCACGUAUGAUUAAUGUGGAAAAACAAAAACUGUUGAAUCGAAAAUGUGAAAAUGAAUCUUGUGUAGAGAAAUUAUAUGUGACUAAAUGUACAAGAACAACUAUUGAACGAGAAUGUGAAAGCGAAUAUUCUCCAUAUAAAUCAUAUAUGAUUAGAUACAUAUGAUCUCAUGUAAUUAAAUACACAAGAACAACAACUAAAUUGAGAACGCCAAAAUAAAUAUUUU
rnacentral:lncRNA from 1 species